GCGGUGGUAGUUCAACGGUAGAACACCACCUUCCCAAGGUGGAGGUUGCGGGUUCAAAUCCCGUCCACCGCU
rnacentral:tRNA from 1 species